rnacentral:pre_miRNA from 1 species
AAGUAUUGGGGUCUCAGGAGGCAGAUCUCUGGGCUGUCUUCACCAUGGCCUUGGCUCCACAUCCCUCCCCCUCCUCAUUUACAGCACAGGUGA